rnacentral:rRNA from 1 species
GACAGAGGUCCCGAGCGUUAGGCGGAAUCACUGGGCUUAAAGCGUGUGUAGGCGGAUCGUUAAGUGCCUUGUGAAAUCCCACGGCUCAACCGUGGAACUGCUGGGCAUACUGCCGAUCUUGAGCCACUUAGGGGCGAACCGGAACAAACGGUGGAGCGGUGAAAUGCGUAGAUAUCGUUUGGAACGCCAAUGGUGAAAACAGGUUGCUGGGAGUGAUGCUGACGCUGAGACACGAAAGCCAGGGGAGCGAACGGG